rnacentral:rRNA from 1 species
GGUGCGUAACGCGUGGGAAUCUGCCCUUGGGUUCGGAAUAACAUCGGGAAACUGAUGCUAAUACCGGAUGAUGACGAAAGUCCAAAGAUUUAUCGCCCAAGGAUGAGCCCGCGUAGGAUUAGCUAGUUGGUGGGGUAAAGGCCCACCAAGGCGACGAUCCUUAACUGGUCUGAGAGGAUGAUCAGCCACACUGGGACUGAAACACGGCCCAGACUCCUACGGGAGGCAGCAGUAGGGAAUAUUGGACAAUGGGGGCAACCCUGAUCCAGCAAUGCCGCGUGAGUGAUGAAGGCCUUAGGGUUGUAAAGCUCUUUUACCCGGGAUGAUAAUGACAGUACCGGGAGAAUAAGCCCCGGCUAACUCCGUGCCAGCAGCCGCGGUAAUACGGAGGGGGCUAGCGUUGUUCGGAAUUACUGGGCGUAAAGCGCACGUAGGCGGCGAUUUAAGUCAGAGGUGAAAGCCCGGGGCUCAACCCCGGAACUGCCUUUGAGACUGGAUUGCUAGAAUCUUGGAGAGGCGGGUGGAAUUCCGAGUGUAG